GCCGUUAGUCUCCUGGCUAUUAGCAUGUUAGUAACGUUUGAAGUAUGUGUAUUUCACCGAGUGUCCGACCUUGCACAUCAGACCUCAUAUUAAUUAAAAGUGAGCUGGUUUGUUUUCUGCUGCCUCUACGUGUUUAUCUUCGAUUCUGAAGAACACGGAGGCUGUCGACUGAGGAAUUGGGUACGCGAGACUCGGCUGGCUAAAUAUCACCUGAACAGGGGCAAAAGAGCAGGAGACUCAUAUGAUGAUACGUGAUACCGCCCACCUAUGGACACUGUCAAUGCUAGAGGAAUCGCGAGUGCGUUGCCGUCCUUUUAAGAAUUUAUACGCUUGUAGUUAAGGUUAAAGGACCCUAAGUCGAAUUGGUUCGAAAAUACUUCAAAAGGCAGCUGGUUCCACAUAGUGGUGGUGCGUGGAAGAAACUGCUUUUAAAAGCACAUCGAUGUGAUACCAGUGGAAUUUUGUAUUUUGUCUAUGUAUAAAAAAACAGUUACUCCAUCUGUGCACCAAUAUUUUUUUAUUUAUAGUAAAAGGAAUCACGUAGAAUCUCUUACUUCAAAGUAAUAGUACUGUG